rnacentral:rRNA from 1 species
UGGGGAAUCUUGCGCAAUGGGCGAAAGCCUGACGCAGCGACGCCGCGUGGGGGAUGAAGCUUUUCGGAGUGUAAACCCCUUUCGACCGGGACGAAACGCCCGCAAGGGAAUUGACGGUACCGGUAUAAGAAGCCCCGGCUAACUACGUGCCAGCAGCCGCGGUAAGACGUAGGGGGCCAGCGUUGCUCGGAAUAACUGGGCGUAAAGGGUCCGUAGGCGGUGUGGCAAGUUGGGAGUGAAAUCUCUGGGCUUAACCCAGGGGCUGCUUCCAAAACUGCCGUGCUAGAGUGCGAGAGAGGUGAGUGGAAUUGCAGGUGUAGCGGUGAAAUGCGUAGAUAUCUGCAGGAACACCCGUGGCGAAGGCGGCUCACUGGAUCGCAACUGACGCUGAGGGACGAAAGCUAGGGGAGCAAACAGGAUUAGAUACCCUGGUAGUCCUAGCCCUAAACGAUCAGAACUUGGGGUGCAUCCCGUUGGGGGUGCGUCCCGUAGCUAACGCGUUAAGUUCUGCGCCUGGGGAGUACGGUCGCAAGACUG